AAAUAAAACCCCCUGGACGCCCUCUCUCAAUCCCACCGUCUCGCCUCGUCCCCCGCCGCCUGCACUGGACGCCCUCUCUCAAUCCCACCGUCUCGCAUCGUCCCCCGCCGCUUGCACUGGACGCCCUCACCAUUUGAAUCUCGCCAGAGCCGAGCCGCUCUGCCUGCGAUUAUGUCGCCGGACUCGCCAGAGAAGCCACCCGCUCGACGCCGAGCUGCCGGAGCCGCGCCCUUGCCGGAGCACCGGGUCGCCGCCUUCGCCUCGCAUGUCCCGGCCAUCCCGAUGCAUGCCAUCACCGCCUUCCGGACGCGCUGGUCCCGUUUUUCUUCUUCCUCGCCGUUGAGGACCACCGCAGCGGCCGCCCCAUCACCGCCCGACGCCAACUCCACCAUCUCCUGCUCGUCGACAUCGUUGCAAUAAGCCGAGUCGCCCGCCCUCGACACGCCGGACCCCGCCAUCGGAACCCGAUGGAGCUGCCGUCCCGCCGAUGUCGAGCCCCUGCCCGUAGCCAUUGCCUCUAUUUUCAACAGGGAGUGAAGAAUAGUUCUAUUAAGUAAGUUUCUGAGAGUGAUUUAAUCUUCAUCAACUAUUACCGGCAAGUUCACAUUUGACCAUACUUUUAAUUACCUAUGUUUUUUAUAUGCACUUAGUCCUUUGUGGUAGGAUUGCAUGGUAGGGAUUUAUGCCGAAUGGCUAUGCUCUUGCCUAGUAGUUCAUAUGAGGUAGGUCUGAACUAUACAACCUUUGUCACCGUCGUGUAAGUUUGUUUUUGCCUCGCUGAUGUAGACGUGGAUUGGGAAGUGUUCAUGGCGAGACAUGAGUGACAAACUAGUAAUCAGGACCAAGACUUUUAAAUAAACUACCUGGGCGGGAUUGGUUUGAAUGGUGGCGAAGUAUAGUGGGAGCAUGCAUGGGAAAUCCAUGCUGGUGGUGGUCUACUGCCCAGGCUCAAAGGGAUCAGACGUGUUUUCAUGUCUAGAAGCUUACGUGUGCAGCCACAACAGGAUAGGCUAGCAGAUGUAGAAUGAAUAGGUGUACCGGCCUAUUCGUGGGUAAAGGGGAAAUAGUUUCGAAAGACUAGGUCUCGGUUAUCCUGUUCUCAAACGCCAGGCAGUGCGAGAACUUCAAUGGAGGCGAUCAAGUCUUCUGGGGAAAAGUGCGCAAACCUCUACAGUGUGUUAAAACCUAAUCGAUUAGCCAUGUCCUCGAUUACGGACAACUUGAGCAUCUAGUAGUGGAAAUGUCGGGUUUUAAAUGAAACUUUGGGAAUGGAUUGAGUUGGGUUUGCCAACUCUUCCCAUGCUAUUACUAUAGUGGUAGAAUAAUAUAUUUUAUUCUACGGAAAAACUAGCUUUAUGCAAAACUAAACUUGAGUUUUCCACCAGCCAAAUUGCAUGUACAUAUAGGUUCUUUAUACUCUUAUGAUGUGACUUGCCAGUACAUUCCAUGUACUGACCUACAGGGCUGGAACGUCUUAUGUUGGAGGAAUUUCUAUGGUGAGUAAGAGUUAAAUUGUAGGGUUACGGUCUACACUCAACUUGCCGUUGGCGUUGAUGGGACUCCACACACGUUCGUUUGUUUCCGCUGAGACUGAUGAGGAUACCGAUCUAGGGAUGGCAUAGAUACACAGAGGCUGGACUGUUUGAGGUCGGGUCGCUACAGAUGCUCUCUUUGUGCUUCAAUUAUUGUCUUUUAUGUGAGCAUCAUUAAAAUCCCAAGCGUAUCUUAAU